GUAGGGUACGGUGAUAUGUAUCCAACAGGGGCUUUGGGUCGUAUAGUAGGGGCGAUGUGUGCUAUGUGUGGAUUACUAGUUAUAGCUAUGCCAAUAGCUGUCAUUGCAGGGAAC
rnacentral:sRNA from 1 species